CCUACGGGAGGCAGCAGUGGGGAAUAUUGCACAAUGGGGGAAACCCUGAUGCAGCGACGCCGCGUGAGUGAAGAAGUAUUUCGGUAUGUGAAGCUCUAUCAGCAGGGAAGAAAAUGACGGUACCUGAUUAAGAAGCCCCGGCUAACUACGUGCCAGCAGCCGCGGUAAUACGUAGGGGGCAAGCGUUAUCCGGAUUUACUGGGUGGAAAGGGAGCGUAGACGGUGAUGCAAGUCAGAAGUGAAAGCCCGGGGCUCAACUCCGGGACUGCUUUUGAAACUGUGUGACUGGAGGGCAGGAGAGGUAAGCGGAAUUCCUGGUGUAGCGGUGAAAUGCGUAGAUAUCAGGAGGAACACCAGUGGCGAAGGCGGCUUACUGGACUGUAACUGACGUUGAGGCUCGAAAGCGUGGGGAGCAAACAGGAUUAGAUACCCCUGUAGUC
rnacentral:rRNA from 1 species